rnacentral:tRNA from 1 species
GGGAUUGUGGCUCAGCAGUAGAGCACUUGCCUAGCACACGUGAGGUCCUGGGUUCAAUUCUCAGCACCA